rnacentral:misc_RNA from 1 species
GUGGAUUUUCUACUUCAUUGUACAAAUACAAUUUCAAUCAAUUCCAAUUCCGAUUGAUCUCUCAUUUUACAGCAUAAGACUGAAGGAAGAAACAUAACGUACUGCAAAGGAUGCACAUUUCCUGUCAUGAUUCUUAGAUGCGCUAAGAUGACCCUUCUGCUAAUGUCCUCUUCGAAGUACUGAUGUACAGAACGUUAUUUCCG